UUCCUCCUCCUCCUCAAUCUCUGGAGCUUUCAUUUUUGUUUCCAUUUAGGCUGAAAUAUUAAGUUAAUGAAUAAUCAAGUUGCAUUGGCCACUGCAGUGGUCAACUGACUUUGUAAUGUCUUAUUUGGGGGUGGUGGAAUGGACACUUCUGCUACUACAUAUAGCUAUACUAAUGAUAUCAUUACUGUUCAACCGGUUUCUUUACCUGACCCCCACUGCUGAAGGAGAUGGGUUUUCUUGUUGCUAACGAGAACAGUCAACCACAGAAUCCAAUUCUCAGUUUCACCUAACACUGAACGACACAGAGUCAAAUUAAGCAUGACUUUGAGUCCGACUCUUCUGAACUAACAUAUCAUGUAAUGCUGGUGAGCCUUCAAAAGAGCUGCUAACACAGACAUAAUUAAAACUGCCACACUACUCCGCAGCAGAGGCUCUGUCCAGCAGCCUGGGCUACAUACACAGUGGAUGAAAAGCACUUUCCAUGGGCCGUCGCUAAGCUGACGCUAUAUACCAACUCCCUGUUCGAGGAUUUGCUUGCUAUUAUCUCUUUUUAUCCCAGGGGGAAAAAAAAACAAUUCUGCCCAUCAGAAAGAAGAUUACAACAAGCCUUGAUACAAGGCAUCAUCAUCAUCUAAUCACUGGUAUUAAUAAAUGGCUCCAAACCAAAGAACAAAAGCACAUCAGUAUCAUGUAAGCAGCAUAUGAUGUCUACUGAGCCAUAAAAAACAUGACCCACUGCUUUGACCGUCCACUGCUCCACCUAUCAGGCGUUUGUACUACAGUGUAAUAAAGGGUAUCUAAUACGCUUCCAUUGCUCACAGUCUUCCUGUCGAAGGGCAUGGAUGUCCGACAGCACAGAAUUAAAAGAAACCAAGUCAAAGAAAAUGAAAAGUUCAACAUGGUUGCAGGAAAACCUCGCAGAAGGUCAAAGCUGCCAAUCAAAGCGAGCCGUACGGCACAUGAGAAACACAUAGAAAUGGGCCUUUUUUCUCCUAAAAAGGACAAACGUUGAAUGCUCUUUUUGAAAUGCAACGCAGACCUGUGUUCUGGCUGACCUUAAACUGCCGGCUUGCCAGAGACAGUAAGCUGAACAUCUGUAUUAUGUGUUAUGAAAUGAACUCUGCCAAGGUUGCAGAAAAUACUUAUUUCUGAUUGGCUGGUAUGUGUGUGGGUUGGGUUGUUUAUUUUUUGUUCACCCUACAAAUAGAUCUAAUCAAAACUGAACGGGUGAACAUCGCCAUGACAACAACAGGGAUUGAUGGUAGCAGUUGAUUGAUAGCCAUCCUUAUUAAUGCAUAGCAACACAAAUGUAAAUCAAAAGGCAGUAUAAAAAAAUGUGGAGAUAAAAACAUGAAAACAGCUUACAAAGGCAUGGAUAUAUGGUUUCCUUGGUCUGAAUGGAAUAUCAUCCUGCAAGGUGUUCCAAAUCCAAUACAAAUACAAAAAAAUAAUAGAGUUCUUUGACUCUGCCUAAUCCAUUAUUUGUGCGUGUCAGGGCACCUUGUCAGAUAUUUCCCCUCACAUAUGUCUCUGUUUUAAGCCAACACUAAGCCAACACUACCUGAAACAGCUUCGUCUAGGUCUUACCUAGUUAUGCCUUUAAUGAGUGAAUAUAAAAACAACCAGGCAGAGAGACAAAAGCACUAGCGACACAGAAGUUGGCCUACUUUAGUCUAUUUUUGGUUAUGUUGGUUAUAUUUAGAAAGCAUUUACUCAGUUUACACUCCACUCAAAUCUUAUAAGGAAAGGGGAUAUACCAGUGUUGACAGGGGGGGGGGGGGGGGGGGGGAGUAGGGGAGCAAUCAGGAUAAAAACAACAAAAGUCCCUCCCUCUUCUACCACAGCCGGGAUGUCCCUGAUACAAAGCUCCCAUGAAAAGCUUUAAAGAAAAUAACUCUUUAUAAACUGUUCUCGAUGCAUUUUACAUUUAUACAGACUUGGUGGAUACUCAUUAUGUACUGUGAACCUACUUAUAACUCUACAUAAAUGUUAAUUGUGUGUUCAUCAUUAAAUGUGUGUUUAGAUACACCCAAAAUGUGCCACCAUACUGUCAGAAGGCUUUUGCAUAUCCCAACAGUUAAAUAUUUUAAAUUGUAUCCCCUCAUUACCCAUGGUAAAAUUAAAUAGCACAUAUUCUAUUUCCCUAUUACUGUCACUUCCAAGAGAUCCACACGAUUAGGAUAGCUAAAGCAAUUGGCAUUUUAUAAGGAGUCAAAUGUACCAAUGAAUUCAUUAAUUGAUUCAUGAAUGGGUAUACAAUCCCUUAGGUUACUUAAAAUAAAGCAUAACCAUUCAUGCCAUCGAUAAUAUCAUUAUUAAAUUAUUAUAAUGUAAUGGUACAAACAUUUCAAUCACAAAGGCCAAGCCAAGCAUUUCCAGACAUUAUGAGUACCUUAUCAGCCUGUAGUAAGUAAAGUGUAAGCAUGUAUGGGGAAAGCAACAUAACAUAUGGAAAAUAAAACAUGAGCAGGGCUUUGGUGGGUGGUAUCUGAGCAUUCAUGCAGGAUGGUGGGGAGAGGGUUUGCCUGCCAGGGCACAGGGUUACUGUACUGCUGCCCAGCAGCUCUUAUGGCUCUAAGUGAAGCGUUUAACCCCACCACUGGACCCCUAGAGGGCUCAUGACCUUGCACUACAGCCCCAGUCUCUGAAGAGUCCAGAGUCCCUGAGCUUAUCCGGAUCCCACUCUGAUAUGGUCCAGAUCUCUCCCUGAUGCGGUACAGAACUCACGUGGAAACACGUCAAAACAACUAAGGGUCCACGCUUGUUGUUUGGGUUUUUGAAAUAUACACAACAGCAGUCGUACAGAGGGAUUCUCUCUCAGAUGGGUUGACAUGCACUUCCUGGUAUUAGUCACACCGCUUGCAUAAUACAGUGGGAGCGCUGAGGCCAGUGCAGGUGCAAAUUCCAAAGCCCCUUCAAAGUUACCUCUGACAGUUUUGACAGGCCCUGACAUCCUCUGUCAUAGUAAUGUCCCAUUUGUUGUGGGCAAGGCAGGUUAUGUCGACGCCAGUUUUCUGCCCAGUGGGUAUUUUGGGCUGGUGGUGCCUUUGUUUUCUCUUCCAUAUUAGACAGUCCCUUUAGGCAUGAAGCAGUGGCCCCUUCUGAUAUCUGCCCAAUCUAGACCUGGCACAAGUACAGUCAAAUGCAAUCAAAGCAUCAGGUUGAGAAGCUAAAUUACACUUCUACUUCAUUGGCUGCAAACGCGUUUGCCUUGACUGACUAAAAAGGUGCUGGUUUUAAUGCGAAGUGGGUAUCCACAUAUUGUUAGCGUGGUCCUUCAUGCUGCAAAUAAAUCAUCAAUGAAUCUGACGGAUUAAGUCAAGCACAUGCCAGCCACGCAGACAGGCUGAGCCUUUGAACACAGGAUGGCUAAAUUAUACAUGACAGGUACAUGAUAACUAAAGUUGGGCCAAACAUAUUUAUGGCCCUACAAGCAAUCUAUUUUACUAGGGAGCUUGUGGGGGUUUUAUACAAGCUGGAGGCAUCAAAUUAGUCAGCUUAGUAGAUCUUAUUUGCAUUUUGGACACAUCAUUGUCCACAUAUCUAGAAAAAUAACUGCAUAAUCUUGACUUCUACUGCAGGACUGUGAAAGCCAGUGUAAUAAUUUGUUAUUAGCAAUUGAUAUCUGUGUUGUAGGAAAUGAGCUGCAUGUUGGUGCUGCACGUGUGCUGCGUGUUUUUAUGCACACUUCAGUGGGACGCUUUGAAUUCAUUGAAGGUCAUUUUUUAUACAACAUUUUUAAAUUUUAUAAGCUUUUUCCCAAACCCACUUCUGUGCACCACCACACAAUGCUUUACUAAGGUAUUGCUUAUGCAAGCUCCACUGUCUGCAUUCUACACUGACUAAUAUAUUUCCCUCAACAACCUAGACAAAAUCUGUGGGAGUAGCCUAUUGAUCAUAAACUGCCAUCCUCUGCUGAAACAAAUGCUUAUUUCUGUAUUUCUCUUUCUUAUCAAAACAGAUUUCAAAUAUAAAAGAUGUUCAAAUUUUCAUAAACUAUCAGAAACAUCUAAAAAUUGACAGCAUGGCUGUUAAUCUUUAUCAUCUAUGCUCCACACCUCUGCUCUCGAAAGGUUACCUCACUUCCACCACCCACACCAUAGUCACAGUCUCUAUGUACCCUGUGAAAUGUGUGCUAACACAUGUCUCCGCCAAAUGAAUUACUACAUUUGGAAUGCGAUCAGUGUUGUCCCCUGGUUAUAAAGUCUGCAUUAGGAUCCACCUCAUAGAGCAGCAUUAGGGGAGACCUGAGGACUCAGUGGCAUGCCAGAAUAGACGAGUACUGAACAGGCUAUAAAACCAAAGAGCCUUCCGGAUAAUGAGAUCACGUGACGUCUCCGAACCGUUACACCUUCAGCGAUGAAAGAGCCAUUGUGGCUUGAAUGUCCCAUUGUACCUUCCCCUUGGCAGUGUCUUCCCAGUGCAUCAAUCACGCCCUGACAACGGUAAUUAAUCUUAAUGAAAAUAAGUCACGUUAAGUGUUGCUGUUGUCUUGAUAAUGUCCAUUCACUGGGCCACUUCUACGUGCAAAUUCCUAUAUAAAAUGUUAAAUGAGAGGAGAUGGGACACAUAUCUCAUACAUGCACCUUCCUGUAAUGGGAGACACAUUUCUGAGAUCAGAGAUGAGAAAGAAGGGUAAUAGCUUGAAAGCUCAUCUUACAGGGCCUUGUAAUUCUAGCUCUCACCCAAAAGCACCAACAUGCAACCACUCUGGGCCUAAAGGGGGUCAUCAGAGCACAACAUUCUGAGGACUCCCACCCUCAAGCCAAUUCAAGACAAAAACAUAUCCUGCAAUCUUCGGCAUUAGUAGCCGCCAAAAACACAUUACAAGAAGCAAGUGAAGUAAACAACCUUAGAUUAGAAACCUGAAGCCUGAAGGUAGAGUUAAAACAGUAUCUGAGAUUAUACUUCUUAUUCGAGGGAGUAAUAGUAGUAAUAGUAGAGGUACUACUGGAAGUAAAAGUACUAAUAAUGAUAAUGCCAGUAGAAGAAUUAAUAGUAGUGGUAGUAGUAGUAGUAGUAGCAACAUCAGCAGUAUUAUAAAUAGUUGUAGUAGCAUUUAUUCAUUCAUUCAUUUAUUCACUCAUUUUGGUUGAAGGUGACAAGCCUAAUAAAAAGUUCUACACUGAACUGGUAGGUGUUAUCAGUUAUUGCUCCCAAAUAGCUCUAAAAGUGGCAGAAGCUAACAGCCUACAUUUUAUCUUGCUCUGCAGGUCAAUUAUUUCUCUGUGUUCAGCAAGUCUAUUGAUCUCAGACCUAUAUGGAUCCUUGGCAGAAUAACUUUCAUGGAUGCACAAACUCACAUUCAAUGUCAGAUGCACAGACCAUAGAGGAGACCACCACGAUACUAUACAGUAAAAUGCAAUGAAAUCCCAUCUGGACCAGUCCAGCAAAGAAAAAUAUCUACUCCCAACAGAAUGGCAGCACCCGUUGCCGUGUAGAGUUAGCAAUACUGAUCUAGCAUCCAACUUCCACGAACACAGUAGAGCAGUCAUCCACCCUGGGCCCAAUCUGAUAUCUAUGUUUGCAUGGGAUGCAGCUGCCACUGGCGAUUUGGAUGGCUCAGGCAGUCUAUAAUCAGCCCCAUGGCAGUGACAACUAUUGCUGCACAGAGCUCAUCUAGCUGUCUCAAAUGUCUCCAGCAUCUCAAAAGCACUCAGCGUAGCCCUCAGCCCCAUAGCACGAGCUGACGCACACACACACCACACACACACACACACACACCAAAGCAGUGGCACUGUCACACAUGGUCUCUAGAGUCUGGAGAUAAAACAGGCCUGGUUUUCACAGUAGCUUGCAGGCCACUGAUGACAAGCACUUGAUGCCACAUUACAGAAAUAUGGUGACUCUAUGCCAUGUAUUUGACCAGUGAGGUAAUUGCUGUGCAUUACUCAUCAAUAUCCCUGCAAUAACUCUGAACCAGCUGCUCUCCAGAACCAGUAUGUAAUGAAUGUUUCUCUUCUUAUCCAUAUGACAUUAGUGACUAAUCGUUCCCCCUACUAAUGCAACACAUGCUUCUCUCUGUAAUAGACUAUAGGCCAGGGCCAGAUCCUCUGGCUAAGAUGGUAAUUGUACCCUCCACAUCUCCAUAUUCCAAAUCAACAACACACACCUGCUGUGGGCUCUGCAGUGUCACAUCUGCCAGAGCUACCAGGUAUCAGCUACAGUCAUUGCAGAAAUUGCAGUGUGACAAUUUAGAAAGUGUAGCCCAUAGGAGACGAGUAUUUUUUUUAAAUUUGUUUUGUACUUGAAGAUUAUUUUUAGUUUGUUCUUUAAAUUGAACACGAAGUAGGCCAGCUGAAAUUGCAGAGCUGGUUUUAUUAUUCAGGUGUAUCAGCAAAGUAAAGCAAACCUGAAUUAAUUAUCUCUCAAUCGAAAUCAGAAACAGAAUACAUUUAGCAAGUGUUGCUGUUGCUUACUGCUACAUGUUUCAACUGCUAUUUAAAAUCCGCAUUUCAAGACGUUAUCGGUGAGCACUUUAUAUAGGCCACUUCUGUGUAGGCUCGUUCUAGAGAUAUAAUCUGAAGAAUAUCCUGGGCUUUUCCACCCCACACUCUUUUAAAAAGCUUAAAAGGGUACACGACCUACAGUUACAAAAACUAGUUAGAGAACAACUAAUUAUGUGACUCUGAGUAAUCUACCAGUGUCCCCCAGUGGUCAGUGUUGCUGCCAGCACUAAAACGCACUGACUUGCGCUGCCGUUAACUUGCUGGAACGGGCGCUGCGUUGCUGCAGACACGCCCGUGGAGGUUCAGUAGCAGGAUUUGGGCUACAGCCGCCUGUCUGUCCAGUGUCAAGCACCAUACACAGCUCCAGCCCUGAUCAUGAUGUAAGAAUUACAGUAUGGGGCAUGUCGAGGGCAUCUUGUGACCAUGCAGAUGUUGUAGUGUUGCUGAAUAGAUUAUGAUGAAAAGCUUUCGAAAAUAGCCGAUUGCCUCUGUCUCAAUUCUGCCUUGUAUUAUUUGUGUUACAUAUCGUGAUACCAUGAACAUUAUGCCACUGAAUAUCACUGCUAAAAUAAGUUUCAUGAUGUGUAAGGCUUUAUUCGCGUCAUGUUGUGUGUAGCCUACGAAACUUCGUGAGAUGUAUUCAGACAUCAUACCAACACAUACCACUGUACUGCCUAAGGUCAGAUGGAAUGCAUGCAGGGACAACAAUGUCCGACACGUCAAGAAAGUGUAUAAUAACCUCUAAACUACCGACAGAUCGACUUUCCUGCCCUAUUGAUUAGUAUAGCUAGUUCACUCCCCUUUAAUUAAUAAACGUCGCGUUGCUUAGUAUCUUAUGUUGGGUGGUUCAUUUAAUUAACAGUAGGCUAAUUCAAUUGAAACAGCUUGUCAGAAUUGCGACAGGCUUAGCCUAACCAGAGUCAAAGACGAAGUCUUGGGAGAUUAUCUGUGUUUGCCUAUGCGGCAAACAUCUCAUGGCAAGCACUAACCUAUCUGUCGAUUCCACGAAACUAACUGAAUCUAUUUCCUCUCAAAAAUAUCAAUUCUAUCUCUAGAGCCGUCACUGAUGCAACGUGGCAAGAUAUUUAUAUCGACCUGCUGUCGCACAAGACAUUUAAAGAAAUGCAGUAGCGGUCAGUAACUGUAAAGACUUGCAUUACCUUUGCCCUGUAGCAUUAAUAUGACUGCCAAGUUGAGGGGCAGUCGGCUCUCCACAAAGGCGCCCAAAUUCUCCCCGUCCUAAAUUCUAGUCUUGGGUUACAGUACUCACAAUCCAGAAGAUAUCAGCCCGAGUCAGAGCUGAACACUAAAACCUCCGUUGGUUUACAGAGAUGCCAUGAAGUCUGAUUGAAGGAAUGAAUCCUUCAAAUUCAUCUUCCAACGUUACUUUUUAAAAUCCAAUGGGGUUGAUUUAAGAGAUAGGACGGACGCUUUCCAACAGUCUAUACCUUCCCCUUCGGUUGCGACGUUUACUGCGCCGUAAUCCAAAUCCAAUCCUUGGGAGACUGGACACGAUGUGAAUGAAAUCCAAAUCCUGGUCUGUUUUCAAAAAGAUUUCUGGUUACAGCUGUUCCAUAUCAAAAGACGAUGCCAAACGAAUCCACAUACCGAUAAAACAUUACGGUAAUUAAGAAGCGUAUUUCUUGCAGCGUCUUGCAGUCUGCGUCUGUACAGUUUGGCGACCAAUCCCAUCUGAGAAACGCAUCACUUCAAAAUCCUAUCAAAGCAUCGACUGUGAAGAAAAAGACUAAGAAGCCAAGAACGAACGAAGGGACGAACGAACAGACCAGGCGAACGAACGAACGAACGGACGGACGAACGGACGGACGAACGGACGAACGAACGAACGAAGGAAUGAAGGAACGAACGAACGAACCGGGCUGCCACGGAUAAGAAACAGACGAGAGCACGCCAUCGCAACGGAGAACUCCGGUUGUUGGGUGAUCAAUGCUCAUAAGUCCUGAGCUAAGGGACGUAAGCUUUCUUUUAUCUUUGAACGUUUUAUGUAUACUGUGCACGUGGCCUGCGGAGUGUUGAUCCCUUGCCUGGUUACCCGAGGUUUGCUGGCUGCCAUUGCCGAAUUGGAAGUGCAGGAGCUCCACUGACAUCCAUCGGAACCACGAGAAGCCAACGUCGUGAAUCACUCAACGCUCACGAGAUGCAGCAUAAAGGAAAGUAAAUUGUCUACCCAAAUCCUAUUGCGUUGUACAUGGGACCGACUGAGUUAUAAUUAUUCCUUUUUCCUCUGGUGUUUGUGGCUGACUGUUCCGGGAGGCCGUGACUGACGUCACUGGGGAACCACCAGGGAAUCCCAUCUUCAAGUAGGGGGCUCUCUACAGUCUACACUGAACGGAUAACGGCCGGAUCAACUACAAAUGGACCCCAGCUGUCUGACAGCUCGUGACUGGACUAUCUUGUGGAGAUGGAAUGACUGAAGACUGCUUUUAACACUUAAAUUAUAAUAUACGUUUUAAUACCAAAUAAAAGUAU
ensembl:lncRNA